rnacentral:rRNA from 1 species
UACGAAGGGUGCUAGCGUUAUUCGGAAUGAUUGGGCGUAAAGGGUGCGUAGGCUGUAUAUUAAGUCAACUGUUAAAUUCCUCGGCUUAACCGAGGCUCAGCGGUUGAUACUGAUAUGCUUGAGGGUGGAAGAGAGAAGUGGAAUUCUCGGAGUAGCGGUAAAAUGCGUAGAUCUCGAGAGGAACACCGAUGGCGAAGGCAGCUUCUUGGUCCACAUCUGACGCUGAGGCACGAAAGCGUGGGGAGCAAACAGG